rnacentral:rRNA from 1 species
GAUGAACGCUGGCGGCGUGCUUAACACAUGCAAGUCGAACGGAAAGGCUCCUGCUUGCAGGGGUACUCGAGUGGCGAACGGGUGAGUAACACGUGGGUGAUCUGCCCUGCACUUCGGGAUAAGCCUGGGAAACUGGGUCUAAUACCGGAUAGGACGAUGGUUUGGAUGCCAUUGUGGAAAGUUUUUCGGUGUGGGAUGAGCUCGCGGCCUAUCAGCUUGUUGGUGGGGUAAUGGCCUACCAAGGCGUCGACGGGUAGCCGGCCUGAGAGGGUGUACGGCCACAUUGGGACUGAGAUACGGCCCAGACGCCUACGGGAGGCAGCAGUGGGGAAUAUUGCACAAUGGGCGCAAGCCUGAUGCAGCGACGCCGCGUGGGGGAUGACGGCCUUCGGGUGGUAAACUCCUUUCGCUAGGGACGAAGCGCAAGUGACGGUACCUGGAGAAGAAGCACCGGCUAACUACGU